UUCAUUUAUAUCCCAUUCAAAUUCUACGAUUUUAUUAAGCACCACUUUUAUAAUUUAGAUAGACACAACUUUGCAACGAACUACUUUAGAAUUUUAUUCAGAAAUAAAUUCCAAACUGCCCACUGGUUGCAGUGCAAUUCUUGUUUAUAAUUUAUUCAUGCAAUGUUAGUUUUUUAAGUUCACAGUGACAUCAUCAUCACAACUGUUCGUGUCAAGGGGCACCGUUUUCUUUGCUAUAUUAUGUUACAUUUUUACUUUCACGUUUUUCUACGUUACAGAUAUCUCUGUAGCAGAUGAUCAGCUAAGACAAUACCAGUCAAUCAAUGAAAACAUGACCUUAGUAUCUCCCGGAAGUUCCGUCUUGGUUUCUUCAGUCCAACCAAUUCCAGUAACCGAUUCUUGGGAAUAUGGUAUGACAGCAUCCCAACUCAAACUGUAGUCUGGGUUGCAAACUGCGAUAACCAGCUUAAUGAUUCAUCGGGAAUUCUAAAGAUUGGCGAUGAUGGAAAUCUGAUUCUUCAAGACCAGACAGAAAGAGUUGUUUGGUCUACUAAUAUUCUUGAGGAUUCAUCAUCAAAUUCAACUACGGUUGCACAGCUCUUAGAUUCUGGAAAUCUUGUUUUGAGACAUCAUGAAAGCAGAGAUGGUUAUAUUUGGCAAAGCUUUGACCAUCCUUCUGAUACCCUGCUAGCAGAAAUGAAGAUAGGAUGGGAGUCGGGAAAUGGUUUGGACCAGUUUUUGACAUCCCGGAAGAGUGUGCAGAUGACCCUGCUCCUGGAGAACUUUCUUAUGGCAUCGAUCCUCAUGGGGUUCCACAAUUAGUCAUCCGUGAGGGCUCUACAAAGAAGUUCCAAAGUGGACCAUGGGAUGGUGAUCAAUUCAUAGGAAUCCCUCUUGUACCCAACCUUCUCUUCAUUCCCAAGGUCAUCAUCAACAAUUCAGAGGGGAUGAACUAUGAGGAUGGUCCCAACUACAUACAUGCUUGUUUUGCCUAUUUUGUCCUUGUUACAUUAUGGAUGUUAUGUUUACUUGUGCAUGAUGAUAUAUAUUUGUUUUACUCCAUAUACUUGAUACUUGAUACUCUGAUAUGUGCUGUGUAGUUUAAUUAUUUUGCCAGGGCCUGUGGACCAAGUUUGGGGGUGAAUUUCUUGUUUUGCCCCUCUGAGCUACAUUUACUUAUCUUUGCUGGUUCUACUCGAUCUUGGUACUUUCCCAAAGAAAAUGAUAAAAUCGUGAUUUUGGAGACUUAAAGACUGUUACCGAGGCUUACAGAGUUGUCCAAAACCAUCUAAAGCAAGCUUGGAGUCUAAAAGGUGAUUCUGGAGAAAUUCAAGUGCAAAAGUUCGAGCACAAGUUUCCUAACUAGAGCACAAAGUGGAAUGAAGCAAGAAAAACAACUAAGGCAUAAAAGCUCGAGCGGAGAAUUCUUUGCUCGAGCCUUUUCCAAAAGGCUCAAGCUUAAACUCCCUUGGGAAGAUGAAAAGACGCUUCGGAAAUUCCAGUUGCCAGAGCUCGAGCAGAAUGCAAAAAGCUCGAGCACUAUCCAAAAAGCUUGAACAGAAGCUUCUUUUCUCGAGCACUCCAGCCAAGGUGAUCGAGCACCCUGAAAAAAAGUCCAAAAAUAUUCUAAGUGUUGAUGAAAAAGACGUUUCGGAAAUAAAGUGAAGAAAUUUGGCUAAAUAUAGAAUUCCUGCUCAAGUCUUGCCUAAAAAGCUCGAGCAGCAGCCAAAAAGCUCGAGCAGAAGAUUCUUUGCUCGAGCCUUUUCCCUUCAAUUAGAAUUUUUAAUUGUGGGAUUAAUUCUAAUUAAGUCCUAUUAAGUCUCAAACGGGCCUAAAUGACCCCAGAAGACCUAAAGCACAUUCAAUCAUUGAUAAAAGUCGGUUACUUCUAUAAAAGGAUGCACAAGGCCACAGAAAACCUUCUUCUUCUCUCUUACAAAUAAUUGGCGGCUUUUAUGGUUUCUGAAGUUUUUCUCUGAAACAUUGAAGGUGAAGAUUCUCAGAAGAGAAGUGCAGUCCAUAAUGAUGAAGUCUACAACAACACAGAGAUAUCUUCCAUCGUUUUGAGUAGCUAAAUCCUCUUUUAGGGCAUUAAUGUAACCUAAAUCUAAUUAUUAUGGUUUGAUUGUUCUAUACUUUGGGAUUUUAAUUGUUAAUGUAUAAUUGAUUGCAUGAUUUUAAGCAAUUGACUUAGAUCUUAUAAGCAAUUGGGAUUUUAAUCAAAUAAAUUAGUUUUUGAUAAA